GGGGUGAUAUGAGUUCGAGACUGCAUUUCCCAUAAGGCUAUGCAGUAGCGUAAUGUUACGUCAGCACGCACUAUAAAUAGACGCACGGUAGCAUAGCGUGUCCUCCUCUUUCAUUCAUUGAUUCUGCCAACAAGCAAACAUUAUUAUAAGGUAUUUGUGCUUGAUUGUGUUUGCUUGUGUAAUUAUAUGGGGUGUGCAGUAGCAUAACACACUCUUGUUUCAUUUAUGCAUUGAUGUAUACAAGUAUUUGCUUACUAAGUGAUUUGCGCUUCACGCUGUCUGUAGGUACUAUAAAUAGACUCAUAGUAGUGUGGAUUGCUUUCACCUCAUUUGUCGGGUCUACAAACAAGCUUGUCGAUCUUCAGGUAAUGGGUCUCUGACUAUGGAAGGGUAUAUUUUAAGUACGCCAGCUAAUUAAUGCCAAGUAGUUGAUCGCUUAUGUUUAGAAUUGUUUGUGUGUUUAUAGGUUACUGUUCAUUUAAUUUAAUGCGGGUAUAAGGCAUCUUCAUGUACGGAUUUUAUUGUUAAGGUAAUGAGAAUUUAUAAAGAAAUUAGUAGGUUAAAGGGGUAGAAAGAAAAGUGUUUUAUGAUGUUGUCAUCUUUCAGAAAACCGUGCGUGUUAAUGGUGAUUGGCCUGACGACAGAGUCUUCAAAGAGUAUGAGUGCUGUAUGAGCGAAAUGCUUGUUAGAGUUUUCAUCCUUUCUGACUCUCGGCAGCACAGGGGCUUCCCUUGUGGGUGCGACUGGCACUGGUGCGGUGGUGGGAUAUUCUUGUGACGUGGCACCUUUUAUUGUGUGCUGUGAUUGCUGUGUUGAAGUGGGGUUGCAUUGCAGUGGUUGUAUAUCCUUCACAAUUCCAGUGGUGCCUUUUAAGGAGCCCUGUGAUUUUGUCAUGAGAGUAUAAAUAUUUUUCUACAUCAUGAGGUUUGCCAUAGUAUUUUAAAUAUUUUAUCAUGUUAUGUGGAAUUAGAAGUUUUGUAUUAUAAAUAAAACUGCUUGUAAAAGUGAUCAUUGCUA